CAAUAGCGUAUAUUAAAGUUGUUGCAGUUAAAAGCUCGUAGUUGGAUUUCUGUCCGGAGAGACCGGUCGGCGCCUUCGGGCGGUGUGCACUGUCGUCUGCUCCGGACAUCCUUGCGGAGAGUGCGUGUGCCCUAACUGGGUGUGCGUAGGAUCCGCAACGUUUACUGUGAAAAAUUAGAGUGUUUAAAGCAGGCGAUCGCUGUGAAUACAUUAGCAUGGAAUAAUGAGAUAGGACUUUGGUACUAUUUUGUUGGUUUGCGCACCAAGGUAAUGAUUAAUAGGGAUAGUUGGGGGUAGUUCAUAUUCAAUUGUCAGAGGUGAAAUUCUUGG
rnacentral:rRNA from 1 species